rnacentral:rRNA from 1 species
AUUGAACGCUGGCGGCAGGCCUAACACAUGCAAGUCGAGCGGAUGAAGGGAGCUUGCUCCUGGAUUCAGCGGCGGACGGGUGAGUAAUGCCUAGGAAUCUGCCUGGUAGUGGGGGAUAACGUCCGGAAACGGGCGCUAAUACCGCAUACGUCCUGAGGGAGAAAGUGGGGGAUCUUCGGACCUCACGCUAUCAGAUGAGCCUAGGUCGGAUUAGCUAGUUGGUGGGGUAAAGGCCUACCAAGGCGACGAUCCGUAACUGGUCUGAGAGGAUGAUCAGUCACACUGGAACUGGGACACGGUCCAGACUCCUGCGGGAGGCAGCAGUGGGGAAUAUUGGACAAUGGGCGAAAGCCUGAUCCAGCCAUGCCGCGUGUGUGAAGAAGGUCUUCGGAUUGUAAAGCACUUUAAGUUGGGAGGAAGGGCAGUAAGUUAAUACCUUGCUGUUUUGACGUUACCAACAGAAUAAGCACCGGCUAACUUCGUG